ACGGUGAAGCUCAGCUUGCUGGGUGGAUCAGUGGCGAACGGGUGAGUAACACGUGAGCAACCUGCCCCCUACUUCGGGAUAAGCCUUGGAAACGAGGUCUAAUACCGGAUAUGAACACUUGCCGCAUGGUGGGUGUUGGAAAGUUUUUCGGUGGGGGAUGGGCUCGCGGCCUAUCAGCUUGUUGGUGGGGUAAUGGCCUACCAAGGCGUCGACGGGUAGCCGGCCUGAGAGGGCGACCGGCCACACUGGGACUGAGACACGGCCCAGACUCCUACGGGAGGCAGCAGUGGGGAAUAUUGCACAAUGGGCGAAAGCCUGAUGCAGCGACGCCACGUGAGGGAUGACGGCCUUCGGGUUGUAAACCUCUUUCAGCAGGGAAGAAGCGAAAGUGACGGUACCUGCAGAAGAAGCGCCGGCUAACUACGUGCCAGCAGCCGCGGUAAUACGUAGGGCGCAAGCGUUGUCCGGAAUUAUUGGGCGUAAAGAGCUCGUAGGCGGUCUGUCGCGUCUGGUGUGAAAUCCCAUGGCUCAACUGUGGGCUUGCAUCGGGUACGGGCAGACUAGAGUGCUGUAGGGGAGACUGGAAUUCCUGGUGUAGCGGUGGAAUGCGCAGAUAUCAGGAGGAACACCGAUGGCGAAGGCAGGUCUCUGGGCAGUUACUGACGCUGAGGAGCGAAAGCAUGGGGAGCGAACAGGAUUAGAUACCCUGGUAGUCCAUGCCGUAAACGUUGGGCACUAGGUGUGGGGCGGGUUCCACUCGUUCUGUGCCGCAGCUAACGCAUUAAGUGCCCCGCCUGGGGAGUACGGCCGCAAGGCUAAAACUCAAAGGAAUUGACGGGGGCCCGCACAAGCGGCGGAGCAUGCGGAUUAAUUCGAUGCAACGCGAAGAACCUUACAAGGCUUGACAUGUACGAGAAAGCCCCAGAGAUGGGGUUCUCUUUGGACCUCGU
rnacentral:rRNA from 1 species